rnacentral:tRNA from 14 species
UGGUUAGCAUACUUGACUAUCACGCAGGAUACCAAGGUUCGAGUCCUUGUAUC